rnacentral:tRNA from 1 species
GCUCGCAUAGCUCAGUUGGAUAGAGCGACAGUUUCCUAAACUGUAGGUCGCAGGUUCGAUCCCUGCUGUGGGCACCA